rnacentral:rRNA from 1 species
GACGAACGCUGGCGGCGUGCUUAACACAUGCGAGUCGAACGGAAAGGCCCUGCUUUUGUGGGGUGCUCGAGUGGCGAACGGGUGAGUAACACGUGAGUAACCUGCCCUUGACUUUGGGAUAACUUCUGGAAACUGGGGCUAAUACCGGAUAGGAGCUCCUGCUGCAUGGUGGGGGUUGGAAAGUUUCGGCGGUUGGGGAUGGACUCGCGGCUUAUCAGCUUGUUGGUGGGGUAGUGGCUUACCAAGGCUUUGACGGGUAGCCGGCCUGAGAGGGUGACCGGCCACAUUGGGACUGAGAUACGGCCCAGACUCCUACGGGAGGCAGCAGUGGGGAAUAUUGCACAAUGGGCGGAAGCCUGAUGCAGCAACGCCGCGUGCGGGAUGACGGCCUUCGGGUUGUAAACCGCUUUCGCCUGUGACGAAGCGUGAGUGACGGUAAUGGGUAAAGAAGCACCGGCUAACUACGUG